CUUCAUUACACAAGAUAAGCUACCUCUCUGCUAUUAACGCGUACAUGUCGGCGCGCUCAGUUUUUGACGCUACGGAUGGCAAUAUGUUGAAACAAAAUAUUCGAAACACCAAAAUGUUUCCACGUGCACCAUAUAAUCUCGCGAUAUUUUCUAUAGUAAUCAUUACGACAGUUCUGCACGGUUCGGAUUCUCGCACACAGAGCUCAGCUCCCAUGAUGUAUGAAGACAAGGAUCUCAAUAUUCUCGACGAACUUCUACAAAGCUAUGACCGAAGAGUGACACCAACACACCACAUAAAUUUCCCUACUACAGUUAAAUGUGAGCUUUACCUGAGAAGUAUAGGUGCUAUCAACCCUGCAACUAUGGAUUAUGAGGUAGACCUGUAUCUUCGCCAGACUUGGCAUGACGAGCGCCUGCGCAGUAACAACUUGACUAGGCAUCUGGAUCUGAACGAUCCAAUCCUGGUCAAAAGGCUGUGGCGGCCAGACGUUUACUUUCCCAAUGCUAAACAUGGAGAAUUCCAAUAUGUGACCGUACCCAAUGUUUUACUGAGAGUCAAUCCUAAUGGCGAUAUUCUUUAUAUGCUUAGGCUGAAGCUAACCUUUUCCUGCAUGAUGGAGAUGGAACGUUACCCAUUAGACACUCAAGUGUGCGAUAUCGAGCUGGCAUCAUUUUCCAAGACUGUCCGAGAGGUAAAGCUGCAGUGGCUGAACGAGAAGUCAGUAUCAAUGUACAAUGAUCUUAAACUUGCACAGUUUGAACUACAGCAGGUCAGCCUGGCGGUGUGCAAAGAGUCUUUCCAAAUUGGUGAAUACAGCUGCCUACAAGCCAGACUUGAUCUGAAACGAUCCAUUGGUCAUUAUCUCGUUCAGUACUAUCUUCCUUCGACCCUCAUCGUCUUUAUAUCAUGGGUCUCCUUCUGGCUCGACGUCGACGCCAUUCCUGCUCGAAUUACAUUAGGUGUCACCACUUUGCUGACCAUUUCGUCCGAGAGUAGUGAUCAACAGUCUAAUCUGGCACCGGUUUCUUAUGUUAAAGCCUUAGAUGUCUGGAUGGGCACGUGCACUUUUUUUGUCUUCGCUGCCUUGAUAGAAUUUACAUUUGUCAGCUACUUGGCAAGAAAACGGGGAAACGUCCAGAAAUUUAAAGCAGAAGAUGGCGAAGUUAAUGCUACUUUGAUUGUGCCCGUUUCCAGCAUACAAGACGUGAUGAACAUUCGGGAAAUUUCUUCGCUGAUGCUAUUACCCGCCAGAGGAUGUGCCAAGCGAAUUGACAAGAUCAGUAGAAUUGUCUUUCCUAUUGGUUUCCUGAUUGUCAACGUUUUCUACUGGCCGUAUUAUUUGUAUUAAUUUGUAUUGUUUUCUUUUCUGUUUACUUUGUAUUCUUUUUAACAUGUUAAAGUAUUAUAUUGCUUCAUAUUGUGCAAGGUAAAUUGUUGUCUGGAAAACUGUGUUGCCAUGUCUGUGUAUAACGUAUGUAAGUUUUGAAAACUAUUUGACUUGUAAUGUUUUUCUAGUUUUGGAAACAUUGUUUACCUUUUUGACGGUUUUCUAUUUGUAGUCUUCGAGUUACGUUUUUUUUUUUUAAUUUAUCUUAAAGUCAGUAGUUCAGUUUUAAUCAUAUUAUAUUUUCGAUGUUAAAUGUUUUCAUUAGAAUUGCGUAUUGUAUGUACAUCUGGAUGUGUCGUUAAUAGCGAGGGUACCGAGUUGUUGAUUCAGUGUAUGCUAAUCAUUUAGGUGGUUAGGGCGCUCGACUCGCAAUCUGCGGGUCGCGGAUUCGAAUCCCCGUCACACCAAACAUGCUCACCCUUUC